CAGCCGCCGCGGGAAUACGGAGGGUGCAAGCGUUAAUCGGAAUUACUGGGCGUAAAGCGUGCGUAGGCGGUUUGUUAAGUCUGUUGUGGAAUCCCCGGGCUCAACCUGGGAAUGGCAAUGGAUACUGGCAAGCUAGAGUGUGUCAGAGGAUGGUGGAAUUCCCGAUGUAGCGGUGAAAUGCGUAGAGAUCGGGAGGAACAUCAGUGGCGAAGGCGGCCAUCUGGGACAACACUGACGCUGAGGCACGAAAGCGUGGGGAGCAAACAGGAUUAGAUACCCCAGUAGUCCCUGUCUCUUAUCA
rnacentral:rRNA from 1 species